AAAAAAAGUCAAGGAAAUUGAAGCAACUACUCUCACGCUAUCUCUUCCUCUCUAAACUCUUUGACUUAUAUAAUGGAGAAUGAUCACAAUUCAUGUUUCUGUUGUUGAUCUUCUCACUUCUACAAGAAGAGGAUGUCCCAACGUGACGUUUCUUAUUGGUCUUUCUCCUUUCCUUCUUACCUCAUUAUCAUAUUCUCAUAUGCUUUAAUUUCUGAUUUUAUUUUCUGUGUUUUGAUUUUCUAAUUCAUCGUUUUUGGAUUUUAUUAUCAUAUGCUAUAUUGAAUUGAUCAUUGAUCCAAAUCAUUUGGCAUGCAUCAUAUUGUUAGCUUGUGAAGAUGUGUCUUAUCUUGGGUUUAUUAUAUAUUUAAUAUGUUUUGAUGGUGUCUUGAUUGGUGAGUGGUGCCAUCCAUUAGGUAGAAAUUGUUUUACAGUUUCACUAGUACUGAGAAUAAAUUGAACCAAUUCAGUAUUCAUUCGAAACUUGACUCGUUAUUUAGCUUGAUAAAUAUGGUUCAUGAACUAAAUGAGGCAAACUUGAGCUAAAAAUUGAGUCCGUUAAACAAACGAGCUGAACUUGAGUUAAAUAAGUUCGACUCGGUAGAUUCAUGAAAUGACUUGAUAUAUAUAUACUAAUUUUUUAUAUUUAUUGUUAUUAUAUAUAAAUAAACAUUCAUAUAAACUUCUGCAUUAUUUUUUUAGAAAUUAAUUAAUUAUUUGAGUUGUCCAAAUGAACUAAUUUGAGUUGAGUUAGACAAUUAAUGAACUUUAGCCGAACUGGACUCAAUCUAAAAUAUAAUUUGUCUCGAAUAUAGUCGAGUUUCGAGUUGGGCAAAUCCUUAUUGAGCUAAGUUGAGCUUUGAUUUGACUCAGUUCUGCUCAUUUCCAGUCAUAGGUUUCAGAACUACUGGUCAACUUUAAGGGAUGAUAAAGGGGUUUGGAUAGUGCAUGCACUGUUGGUGAGGUUACUGCGGGGAAGUAAGAACUCAUGUCUCCAUCUUUGUCUUCCAUUAGGUGAUAGAUAAGUUUCAUAAUCACUAAGAUGCUAGAAUAAUUUAGAGCUAUCACAGAUUUAUGAAGAAAAGUAUGUUGACAAUCUAUGACCACACCAUAACUUAGCAUGUCGAUAUUUUUACUUGAAGUGCCAAUGUUUUUCCAUUUUUUCAUGAUAUUUUUGUUAAAAUACAUUUGUAUAGAUUAUUUGUUCUAUAUUUUGUAUUGGGCAUGUCUUGUAAUCUUGGUGUUAAAUGCAGUUGUGGCUCUUGUGGAUACCCUUUUAACUUGACAUCGUCUAAUCGAAUCAUAUCUAACAUUGCAUCAGAAUAUCAGAAGUCUAUUAAAAAAGGAUCAAUCUCUUUUGCUUCAAUUGAUCUAAGCAAAUUUACACAUGUUGAUGAAAUAAAUUGUUUUCCCAUAUCAUGGUUUCGGUAUCAUUCAAAGACUACAUUACUUUGCCGAAAAUGUGGGGUUCAUAUUGGUUAUGGUUAUGAUAGAAAAUCACAUGUUCUUUGUGGAUUUCAGUCACCUAUUUCUUCUAGCUCUCAAAGAAAAUUCAUCAUGAAGAUUCGAUCAUUACAACCUAUUUCAGAAGAGUGAUGAAAAUUUAGACAUGGGUGGUCUUUGUAGAAAUGAUGGCACCUCCAUCACACAUCCCCAA
rnacentral:lncRNA from 1 species